rnacentral:rRNA from 1 species
CCUACGGGAGGCAGCAGUGAGGAAUAUUGGUCAAUGGACGAGAGUCUGAACCAGCCAAGUAGCGUGAAGGAUGACUGCCCUAUGGGUUGUAAACUUCUUUUAUAUGGGAGUAAAAUGUUCCACGUGUGGGAUUUUGUAUGUACCAUAUGACUAAGGAUCGGCUAACUCCGUGCCAGCAGCCGCGGUAAUACGGAGGAUCCGAGCGUUAUCCGGAUUUAUUGGGUUUAAAGGGAGCGUAGGUGGAUUGUUAAGUCAGUUGUGAAAGUUUGCGGCUCAACCGUAAAAUUGCAGUUGAAACUGGCAGUCUUGAGUACAGGAGAGGUGGGUGGAAUUCGUGGUGUAGCGGUGAAAUGCUUAGAUAUCACGAAGAACUCCGAUUGCGAAGGCAGUUCACUGGACUGCAACUGACACUGAGGCUCGAAAGUGUGGGUAUCAAACAGGAUUAGAUACCCCUGUAGUC